UAUUUUCUCACAAAACCCCACCCUCCAAACAGAGCGUUGGCGUUGCUGUUAAGAAGAACACACAAAGCUUGAACAGCUUCGAAUUUGACUGAAAAACAGAGAGAGAGAGAGAGAGAGAGAGAGAGAAGCAAACUGCAAAAAGCGAAGAACCAUGGAAGAAACCGCGGGAGAGGAAAAUGAAAGAUCAGUAGCAGCUCCAAUAAUCUUCACCAUCGUAAUCGCAUUCCAAUUCCUAUCUACAUACAUACAACACAAGACCAAGUGGCAUCUAUUGUAAAACGGCUUGUAUUUUGGUUAUGUGCUUCUUGCUUGAGGGGAUCAAUGUCUAAUGUGGAGACCCAAUUGCGCUAAGAGAUUAAGCAACUGCAUAAAGAGGCGAGCUCAUUGUCACAGACUUCAACAUUUGCACAAACUACUUGGCUAAGGAGAAGGACCUUGCAAAAAGUUACUCAACACACAACCCUCCUCUGCAUCCAAGGUUGGAACCAACUAUGUAAAAGAUAAAACACUAAGCAAGACACAAGCAGAAGAGGAUGUAUAGAUGGAUGUGUGUGGUAAGACCAAAAAAGAUAGAAUUAGAGACGAACAUAUUCAUGAAAUGGUAGAAGUUGCACCAAUUAAAGCUAUGUUGAGAGAAUAGUUUGAUCAUGUACAACAAAAACUUGUAGAUGCAAAGAGGUGAUGUGAUCACCGUAAAUGGCAAUGUGAGGGGGAGGAAAAGACUGAAAUUGACAUGGGAUGCUAUAGUAAAGAAAGAUAUGAUUUUUUUUUUAUUUAAUUGAGCAUAUAGCGUUUUACGGAACAAGAUGGCGAAAUAGAAUUUGUGACUGACCCCACUUGAUUGUGACACAAGACUUAGUUUGGUUUGAUUUUUAUUUUUCUUUAGCCUUGUGGUGUUGGUUUGAGUCUCUAAAUUCGACUUCUCUAAAAAAGUAGGGGUCAGAAUGCUUACCUAUUACCUUCUUGUGAAUGGGAGCUGCGCUAUUUUCCCCUAACUUUGUGGUGCAGAUCUGAAUCAUGGAAAUCAGCCUCUCCACCAAAAAAAAAAAAGAAAAAAAAAAGGGACCAUCUCUCUCAGACCCUAUUGCAAGCAGGAGCCUUGCGCCCUAGGUAUGGUUAAAGGAGUUGCCUUUGUGAUUAUGAAAUUUUCUUGCGGUGAUCAUUUAGGGCAGAUUGCUCAAGGAAUGGGCCCAGUUUGAAAUUGGUGACAAUCAGAAAACCUUCAUGAAUGAGGUUCAAUAUUGAUGAAGGGGCUGGUCUCUGAUUGGGCUCUAUCAGCCAGGUUUCUCUUUGCAAAGGUAUGAAGCUGGUCUAUCAGGAUCUAUGAGCAAGAGGACAAUUUUCAAAUGAAAUGUUCAGUGGGAGCCCACUGUGAUCAGAUAAAGGUCCUUAUUUGUUGAGAGGAGGAAGGGUAAGUGGAGCAGCAUGAUUUGAGGCAGUGAUUGUUUUUUGCAAACCCAGAGCAUGUUAGAAGGAAGACAGUGGCUUGCAGCAAGAGGCAGAAGUGAUGGAAAAUGUUGACGAGGGGAGAGCUCUGUGAUGGACGAUUGCUUGCAAAUAACAGUUCAAGAAUUGCAUAGCAAGGAGGUGAAAUCGUCAUAUGAUUCAUAUUUGAAAGGUCUCACAAUAUUAAAGGUGAUCUGGGAACAGUUUGAUGCUUAAAAUAUUUACAAGUUUCCCUGAACAAAGUGCUGAAGUGUUUAGUUGCAUGGUUACCCAACAGGUUUUUACAUAUUUUUUGUUGAUUUGGUGGUUUUGGGGAGUCCCUGUGGCUUUCAUGUAUAAGAAAUUUGUGGAGCCCUUUGAAAUAGCAAAUGUUUUCCAUGGUCAAGAGUUGGGCAAUAAUAGCUUCUUCGCGUCCCAAAGUGUCCACUUUUAAAUGGUGAAAAACAUUUCUAAACUAAAAUCUUACCAAUGCCACUACACUACUACCACUGUUGCCAUCACCACCACCACGGCCACCGGCUUCUACCUCUACUCCUCCACCACCACCAAUACAACCAUUAGUAAACGUAGCUCGGACUGGCAUGACGGGCCGGGGAGCCGCCCCAACCGAGUAAACGGCUCUCGCAAGGUUCAUUAUAACUCGCGUUAUCAUAGCUCGGCCGUACUUGUCCGGCGCAAGUCUCCCUCUCAUUUACCAAUAAGGAUUCUAUGUGUAAGUUUUGGAGAGAAAUUUGGGAGAAAUGAUGCUACUUUGGACUUUCUUGUUCCAAUUAUGGUUCAUGUUAAGAAUACCUUGUAAGAAUUUAAAAGUUAUACCCACUAAGGUUACUAGACAAUAUUUUGUUUUUGGUUAUUAUUAAUUAUAUGGUUCUUUAUUGUUCUCC